GAUGAACGCUGGCGGCGUGCUUAACACAUGCAAGUCGAACGAAGCACUUUUCGGAAUCCCUUCGGGGAGGAAGAGAAGUGACUUAGUGGCGGACGGGUGAGUAACGCGUGGGUAACCUGCCUUAUACAGGGGGAUAACAGUUGGAAACGACUGCUAAGACCGCAUAAGCGCACAGUGUCGCAUGACACAGUGUGAAAAAU
rnacentral:rRNA from 1 species